GUCCAUGCUGUAAACGAUGAGAACUAGAUGUUAGAAGGCAUGACCUUCUAGUAUCGAAGCUAACGCGAUAAGUUCUCCGCCUGGGGAGUACGGCCGCAAGGUUAAAACUCAAAGAAAUUGACGGGGGCCCGCACAAGCGGUGGAGCAUGUGGUUUAAUUCGAUGCAACGCGAAGAACCUUACCUACCUUUGAAUCCACAGAACCUAGCAGAGAUGUUGGGGUGCCUUCGGGAACUGUGAGACAGGUGCUGCAUGGCUGUCGU
rnacentral:rRNA from 1 species